GAUGAACGCUGGCGGCGUGCCUAAUACAUGCAAGUCGAGCGGACGGACGAGAAGCUUGCUUCUCUGAUGUUAGCGGCGGACGGGUGAGUAACACGUGGAUAACCUACCUAUAAGACUGGGAUAACUUCGGGAAACCGGAGCUAAUACCGGAUAAUAUUUUGAACCGCAUGGUUCAAAAGUGAAAGACGGUCUUGCUGUCACUUAUAGAUGGAUCCGCGCUGCAUUAGCUAGUUGGUAAGGUAACGGCUUACCAAGGCAACGAUGCAUAGCCGACCUGAGAGGGUGAUCGGCCACACUGGAACUGAGACACGGUCCAGACUCCUACGGGAGGCAGCAGUAGGGAAUCUUCCGCAAUGGGCGAAAGCCUAACGGAGCAACGCCGCGUGAGUGAUGAAGGUCUUCGGAUCGUAAAACUCUGUUAUUAGGGAAGAACAUAUGUGUAAGUAACUGUGCACAUCUUGACGGUACCUAAUCAGAAAGCCACGGCUAACUACGUG
rnacentral:rRNA from 1 species